rnacentral:misc_RNA from 1 species
GAUGAAGAACGUAGCGAAAUGCGAUACUUGGUGUGAAUUGCAGAAUCCCGUGAACCAUCGAGUCUUUGAACGCAAGUUGCGCCCGAAGCCACUAGGCCGAGGGCACGCCUGCCUGGGCGUCACACGCCGUUGCCCCCCCAUCUACUCCUUCGGGAUUGCGGGGGGCGGAUGAUGGCUUCCCGUGCGCCUCGUCGCGCGGUUGGCAUAAAUGCCAAGUCCUCGGCGACGCACGCCACGACAAUCGGUGGUUGCGAAACCUCGGUUGCCCGUCGUGUGCGGUCGUCGCGCAUCGAGGGCUCGAAAAAAUUGCCGGGCUCCGGCUCGGCUUUCAACGCGACCCCAGGUCAGGCGGGGUUACCCGCUGAAUUUAAGCAUAUCAAUAAGCGGAGGA